rnacentral:misc_RNA from 1 species
AAGAGACUCCCUCUUUCUCUCUCUAAGCGUCUGCCUAUCUCUUUCUAUAGAACCUCCAAUCCUGUCUCUAUUCAUUAUAAUCUCUUUUGUUCUUAUUGUAUAUUACUUUGUCUUUUAUUUUUUAUUUAUAUAAAUUUUAAUUCUUAAAUUUCAUCCUUUUUAUCCUCUCUUAUUAAAAUCUUCUUAGUAAUUUUGAUCCUUUUUUUUAAAUAUUUUUCCUUUUUUUUGAUUAAUCUAUCAAGAGCUAACAGUGAUCGCUUCGUAUGUAAUCCAACGCUGAAUCUUGUUAAUUUUCAUGGAUCGACUAAUGUGAUUUUGUGCUUUUGACGUCAUGUAAGUGAAUGAAGAGAUAUGGGAAUAGAAUCCGUUGGUGGGUUCUUCCACUUAUAUGUUCAACCGAAAUUGAGUUCUAAGUGGACUGUCCAAUAGCUGAUCAAUCUGAAUUUUCUUGUGGCGCUGUGUGUGUUGAUUCAUAUAUCAAUGGAGCAAUUCCAGAUAGGAUUUUGAUUAUUGGGGUUUCUUUGCCCUUUUCGUUCUUUUCGAUUUUGAGUGUCAAUGGAUGAGCUAAGCGCUAAUGAAGCGCAAGAAUUCAAAGCGUCUUCACUACGGUGGCGGCCGAGGCAGCUAGCAUUUGAGCCGUAUACGUCGGGCAGUGAACAUGCGAACAAGGCAGAAACUUUGCGCGUUGUUGUGAGAAGGCCUUUGUUGGCAAGACUGACCAAAGACAUAGUUGAGACAUAUCAAAUAUGCAAUCCACAGUUCAAGUAUUCUGAAGAAUUAAAUCCAAAAAGAUAUUUGACCAGCCCAUCAAUUGGCGUCCUGAAUGAUGGUUAUGACAAUGUGAAUUCUGAUCUGAUUCUGACUGUAAACUUUGCCUUGGUCAAUCUAGAGGCACAGAGAAGAUACAUUGUCAAAGAUGUUCUUGGCCAUGGCACCUUUGGGCAGGUUGCUAAAUGCUGGUUUGCAGAAACCAACUGUUUUGUUGCCGUGAAGAUAAUUAAAAAUCAACCAGCUUACUAUCAGCAAGCUCUGGUUGAAGUAUCUAUUUUGACAACGCUAAACAAGAAGUAUGAUCCUGAAGAUAAGCACCACAUUGUUCGUAUCUAUGAUUAUUUUGUAUUUCAGCGGCAUUUGUGCAUUUGCUUUGAACUGCUAGACACAAAUCUGUAUGAGCUUAUUAAGAUAAAUCAAUUCAGGGGUUUAUCACUGAGCAUUGUCCAGUUGUUCUCUAAACAGAUUUUACAUGGAUUGGCUCUAUUAAAAGAUGCUGGGAUAAUUCAUUGUGAUUUGAAGCCUGAAAACAUUCUUCUAUGCACAAGGUGAAUUACUUUUCUUGAUGAGUUUUAGGCAUGAUCUCUAUAAUAAGUCUUCGUUUCUGUUCAAUUCGAAUUUUUGUAUUGUGAAAAAACAGUGUGAAGACAGCAGAAGUUAAAAUAAUCGACUUUGGAUCAGCAUGCAUGGAGGAUCGUACCGUUUACUCCUACAUCCAGGUCACAUCUAUGUUUAUUCCCAGGCUCUUUAUACAUAUCCAGGUUCACAUUAUGUGGAAGGCCUUGUAAUUGCAUAUUUCUGUUUAUCCUGCAGAGUCGUUACUACAGGUCGCCUGAAGUCCUUCUUGGAUAUCAAUAUACUACUGCUAUUGACAUGUGGUCCUUUGGGUGCAUAGUUGCAGAACUGUUUCUAGGAUUGCCGCUCUUCCCUGGAGCUUCAGAAUUUGAUCUUUUGAGGAGAAUGGUUGAAAUACUUGGGUAUGUCUUCCCUUUUCUGCUGGUAACUAAGAGCUAAAGUGUAUUUGACAUUUUUAUAAAGCUUCUCUUUACCUUUUGCAAUUCAGUAAUUGGACUUCCUUAUCUCUCUUGAAUUACCUCAUAUCCCUUUUAAUUUCACUGGGGUUUCAUAUAUGGAAUUUUGAUAUUUUUUUCCUUUUUUAAUUUUAUUUGUAUUGCCUACUUCUCCAUGCUCUCUUUCCUCAUUCCAAUGGAAUUAUGAAAGGUAUUGAUCUUCUGUUUCUUGAUUAGACAAGCAGUAUUCUUGUAUAUGGUAGUGGCAGUGUGGCAUACAUUUUUUGUGUAUCAUUUUCUAGUGUUGCCACUGUACAGUUUACUUUUAUAUUGAUUCUUUAAAGAAUUUAGUUAUUAAAAUAUUUUAGCAAGCAGUAUUCCUUAUCAAUUGUUUUUAACAGCCUUUUGUGUGUGGUUGCAUUGUUUUAGUGGACAACCCCCUGAUUAUCUACUAAAGGAGGCAAAAAAUACUAGCAAAUUCUUUAAGUGUGUUGGAAGUGUCCACAAUGUCGACGGUGGUGAAGUUACCUUUGGUGGCAAAAGUGCUUACCAAGCAUUAACAGUGGAAGAAUACGAAGCUAGAGAAUUGAAAAAACCGUCUAUCGGAAAGGAGUAUUUCCAUCAUAUGAACAUUGAGGCAAUUGUUACAAACUAUCCUUACAGAAAGAAUCUGCCACGUGAAGAUAUGAUGAAAGAGAGUCGAGUACGAUUAGCUUUGAUUGAUUUCUUAAGAGGGCUUGUUGAGUUUGAUCCCGCAAAGAGGUGGUCCCCUUUUCAGGCUUCGAAACACCCUUUUGUAACUGGGGAGCCUUUCACCUGCCCCUACAAGCCUCCUCCAGAGACCCCUCGCAU